GUGGACCCGUGAUCCGGGUUGCGGACAGUGUCUGGUGGGUAGUUUGACUGGGGCGGUCUCCUCCUAAAGAGUAACGGAGGAGCACGAAGGUUGGCUAAUCCUGGUCGGACAUCAGGAGGUUAGUGCAAUGGCAUAAGCCAGCUUGACUGCGAGCGUGACGGCGCGAGCAGGUGCGAAAGCAGGUCAUAGUGAUCCGGUGGUUCUGAAUGGAAGGGCCAUCGCUCAACGGAUAAAAGGUACUCCGGGGAUAACAGGCUGAUACCGCCCAAGAGUUCAUAUCGACGGCGGUGUUUGGCACCUCGAUGUCGGCUCAUCACAUCCUGGGGCUGAAGUAGGUCCCAAGGGUAUGGCUGUUCGCCAUUUAAAGUGGUACGCGAGCUGGGUUUAGAACGUCGUGAGACAGUUC
rnacentral:rRNA from 1 species